UACAGAGGGUGCGAGCGUUGUCCGGAAUCACUGGGCGUAAAGGGCGCGUAGGCGGUCUCUUAAGCGUGUGGUGAAAGCCCGGGGCUCAACUCCGGGUCGGCCGUGCGAACUGGGGGACUGGAGCUUGUCAGAGGCAGGCGGAAUUCCCGGUGUAGCGGUGAAAUGCGCAGAUAUCGGGAGGAACACCAAUUGCGAAGGCAGCUCGCUGGGACGUUACUGACGCUGAGACGCGAAAGCGUGGGGAGCAAACAGG
rnacentral:rRNA from 1 species